rnacentral:rRNA from 1 species
GUCGAGAAUAAUUCACAAUGGGGGCAACCCUGAUGGUGCAACGCCGCGUGGAGGAUGAAGGUCUUCGGAUUGUAAACUCCUGUCAUCCGGGAGCAAGACCUGGCCGUGAAUAGCGGACAGGGUUGAUAGUACCGGAAGAGGAAGGGACGGCUAACUUCGUGCCAGCAGCCGCGGUAAUACGAAGGUCCCGAGCGUUGUUCGGAAUCACUGGGCGUAAAGGGAGCGUAGGCGGCGCGGUAAGUCAGAUGUGAAAUCCUAGGGCUCAACCCUGGAACUGCAUCCGAUACUGCUGUGCUUGAGCAAUGGAGAGGUAGCCGGAAUUCUCGGUGUAGCAGUGAAAUGCGUAGAUAUCGAGAGGAACACUCGUGGCGAAAGCGGGCUACUGGACAUUUGCUGACGCUGAGGCUCGAAGGCCGGGGGAGCGAAAGGGAUUAGAAACCCGAGUAGUCC